GGGUUGUGAGGUUAAGCGACUAAGCGUACACGGUGGAUGCCCUGGCAGUCAGAGGCGAUGAAGGACGUGCUAAUCUGCGAUAAGCGCCGGUAAGGUGAUAUGAACCGUUAUAACCGGCGAUUUCCGAAUGGGGAAACCCAGUGUGAUUCGUCACACUAUCAUUAACUGAAUCCAUAGGUUAAUGAGGCGAACCGGGGGAACUGAAACAUCUAAGUACCCCGAGGAAAAGAAAUCAACCGAGAUUCCCCCAGUAGCGGCGAGCGAACGGGGAGGAGCCCAGAGCCUGAAUCAGCAUGUGUGUUAGUGGAAGCGUCUGGAAAGGCGCGCGAUACAGGGUGACAGCCCCGUACACAAAAGCGCAUGUGCUGUGAGCUCGAUGAGUAGGGCGGGACACGUGGUAUCCUGUCUGAAUAUGGGGGGACCAUCCUCCAAGGCUAAAUACUCCUGACUGACCGAUAGUGAACCAGUACCGUGAGGGAAAGGCGAAAAGAACCCCGGCGAGGGGAGUGAAAAAGAACCUGAAACCGUGUACGUACAAGCAGUGGGAGCACCCUUCGGGGUGUGACUGCGUACCUUUUGUAUAAUGGGUCAGCGACUUAUAUUCUGUAGCAAGGUUAACCGUAUAGGGGAGCCGGAGGGAAACCGAGUCUUAACCGGGCGUUAAGUUGCAGGGUAUAGACCCGAAACCCGGUGAUCUAGCCAUGGGCAGGUUGAAGGUUGGGUAACACUAACUGGAGGACCGAACCGACUAAUGUUGAAAAAUUAGCGGAUGACCUGUGGCUGGGGGUGAAAGGCCAAUCAAACCGGGAGAUAGCUGGUUCUCCCCGAAAGCUAUUUAGGUAGCGCCUCGUGAAUUCAUCUCCGGGGGUAGAGCACUGUUUCGGCUAGGGGGCCAUCCCGGCUUACCAACCCGAUGCAAACUGCGAAUACCGGAGAAUGUUAUCACGGGAGACACACGGCGGGUGCUAACGUCCGUCGUGAAGAGGGAAACAACCCAGACCGCCAGCUAAGGUCCCAAAGUCAUGGUUAAGUGGGAAACGAUGUGGGAAGGCCCAGACAGCCAGGAUGUUGGCUUAGAAGCAGCCAUCAUUUAAAGAAAGCGUAAUAGCUCACUGGUCGAGUCGGCCUGCGCGGAAGAUGUAACGGGGCUAAACCAUGCACCGAAGCUGCGGCAGCGAACGUAUCACCCAAGACAACUUUACGGAGUUGACGAUUGACGGAGCGAAGCGACGUCAAAGCGUUCAUUAAAGUCGAGUUGGCUUAGGGAUACGUUCGUUGGGUAGGGGAGCGUUCUGUAAGCCUGUGAAGGUGUGUCGUGAGGCAUGCUGGAGGUAUCAGAAGUGCGAAUGCUGACAUAAGUAACGAUAAAGCGGGUGAAAAGCCCGCUCGCCGGAAGACCAAGGGUUCCUGUCCAACGUUAAUCGGGGCAGGGUGAGUCGACCCCUAAGGCGAGGCCGAAAGGCGUAGUCGAUGGGAAACGGGUUAAUAUUCCCGUACUUGGUGUUACUGCGAAGGGGGGACGGAGAAGGCUAUGUUGGCCGGGCGACGGUUGUCCCGGUUUAAGCGUGUAGGUGUGUGUUCCAGGUAAAUCCGGUUCACUUUAACACUGAGGCGUGACGACGAGGCACUACGGUGCUGAAGCAACAAAUGCCCUGCUUCCAGGAAAAGCCUCUAAGCAUCAGGUAACACGAAAUCGUACCCCAAACCGACACAGGUGGUCAGGUAGAGAAUACCAAGGCGCUUGAGAGAACUCGGGUGAAGGAACUAGGCAAAAUGGUGCCGUAACUUCGGGAGAAGGCACGCUGACACGUAGGUGAAGUGAUUUACUCAUGGAGCUGAAGUCAGUCGAAGAUACCAGCUGGCUGCAACUGUUUAUUAAAAACACAGCACUGUGCAAACACGAAAGUGGACGUAUACGGUGUGACGCCUGCCCGGUGCCGGAAGGUUAAUUGAUGGGGUCAGCGCAAGCGAAGCUCCUGAUCGAAGCCCCGGUAAACGGCGGCCGUAACUAUAACGGUCCUAAGGUAGCGAAAUUCCUUGUCGGGUAAGUUCCGACCUGCACGAAUGGCGUAAUGAUGGCCAGGCUGUCUCCACCCGAGACUCAGUGAAAUUGAACUCGCUGUGAAGAUGCAGUGUACCCGCGGCAAGACGGAAAGACCCCGUGAACCUUUACUAUAGCUUGACACUGAACAUUGAGCCUUGAUGUGUAGGAUAGGUGGGAGGCUUUGAAGUGUGGACGCCAGUCUGCAUGGAGCCGACCUUGAAAUACCACCCUUUAAUGUUUGAUGUUCUAACGUGGACCCGUAAUCCGGGUUGCGGACAGUGUCUGGUGGGUAGUUUGACUGGGGCGGUCUCCUCCUAAAGAGUAACGGAGGAGCACGAAGGUUGGCUAAUCCUGGUCGGACAUCAGGAGGUUAGUGCAAUGGCAUAAGCCAGCUUGACUGCGAGCGUGACGGCGCGAGCAGGUGCGAAAGCAGGUCAUAGUGAUCCGGUGGUUCUGAAUGGAAGGGCCAUCGCUCAACGGAUAAAAGGUACUCCGGGGAUAACAGGCUGAUACCGCCCAAGAGUUCAUAUCGACGGCGGUGUUUGGCACCUCGAUGUCGGCUCAUCACAUCCUGGGGCUGAAGUAGGUCCCAAGGGUAUGGCUGUUCGCCAUUUAAAGUGGUACGCGAGCUGGGUUUAGAACGUCGUGAGACAGUUCGGUCCCUAUCUGCCGUGGGCGCUGGAGAACUGAGGGGGGCUGCUCCUAGUACGAGAGGACCGGAGUGGACGCAUCACUGGUGUUCGGGUUGUCAUGCCAAUGGCACUGCCCGGUAGCUAAAUGCGGAAGAGAUAAGUGCUGAAAGCAUCUAAGCACGAAACUUGCCCCGAGAUGAGUUCUCCCUGAGACUUAGAGUCUCCUGAAGGAACGU
rnacentral:rRNA from 1 species